rnacentral:lncRNA from 1 species
UAUACUGGAGGUGCCCGCACGCUGUUAAGUCUUUCUCUUAAAUUUGGUAUUAUUCCAAUUGUUGUACCUGUUGGUGUUCGAGAUUUUGACAUUGACGGUGAACUUUGGGUAAAAUUGAGACUAAUACCAACAGAACCUUGGGUCGGUUCCUGUUGGUGUUCGAGAUUUUGACAUUGACGGUGAACUUUGGGUAAAAUUGAGACUAAUACCAACAGAACCUUGGGUCGGUGCUGCUUCGUGGGCUUUUGUUUCACUUCCAAAGAUCAAAUUUGAGCUGUCUCCAUUCCGUUUGUUCAAUUUAAUGG